UUAACGAAAAGGCAAACUUGCUGAAAGGCAAGGACGCAAAACCACAGAUCUAAAGAUUGCUAGAGCAAUCCAAGAUGGCUGGGUUACCGAA
rnacentral:ncRNA from 1 species